rnacentral:rRNA from 1 species
UACGGGGGGGGCAAGCGUUGUUCGGAAUUACUGGGCGUAAAGGGCUCGUAGGCGGCCAACUAAGUCGGACGUGAAAUCCCUCGGCUUAACCGGGGAACUGCGUCCGAUACUGGAUGGCUUGAGUUUGGGAGAGGGAUGCGGAAUUCCAGGUGUAGCGGUGAAAUGCGUAGAUAUCUGGAGGAACACCGGUGGCGAAGGCGGCAUCCUGGACCAACACUGACGCUGAUGAGCGAAAGCCAGGGGAGCAAAGCGGG